GCCAUGCAAGUCUAAGUACAUGCCGCACUAAGGUGAAACCGCAAAAGGCUCAUUAAAUCAGUUAUGGUUCCUUGGAUCUUAAACAGUUACUUGGAUAACUGUGGUAAUUCUAGAGCUAAUACAUGCAAUCAAGUCCCGGCCAGAGAUGGGAGGGACGCUUUUAUUAGAUCAAAACCGAUCGGCGUCCGGCUCCGGCCGGCGCCGUCUCUUUUGGUGACUCUGGAUAACCUUAAGCCGAUCGCACGGUCACAGUACCGGCGACGCAUCUUUCAAAUGUCUGACUUAUCAACUGUCGAUGGUAGGCUCUGCGCCUACCAUGGUUAUAACGGGUAACGGGGAAUCAGGGUUCGAUUCCGGAGAGGGAGCCUGAGAAACGGCUACCACAUCCAAGGAAGGCAGCAGGCGCGCAAAUUACCCACUCCCGGCACGGGGAGGUAGUGACGAAAAAUAACGAUACGGGACUCAUCCGAGGCCCCGUAAUCGGAAUGAGUACACUUUAAAUACUUUAACGAGUACCAAUUGGAGGGCAAGUCUGGUGCCAGCAGCCGCGGUAAUUCCAGCUCCAAUAGCGUAUAUUAAAGUUGUUGCGGUUAAAAAGCUCGUAGUUGGAUCUGUGUGCCACGCUGUCGGUUCACCGCCUGCGGUGUUAACUGGCAUGUCUGUGGGACGUCCUGCCGGUGGCGGUACGGGCUGCCGGCGCUGCGUAGGGGUUCGCCCCCGAAGCACGCCGGCGUGUCCCGGUCCGCCGAUCCAAUCCCGCCGCGGUGCUCUUCACUGAGUGUCGAGGAGGGCCGGCACGUUUACUUUGAACAAAUUAGAGUGCUCAAAUCAGGUCGUAU
rnacentral:rRNA from 1 species